rnacentral:rRNA from 1 species
GGUANUCCCANCCGUAAACGAUGUAGNUAGAUGAUUCAUNCCAAGUCGCGAAUGAAUUNUCGCAGGGAAANCCGUUAAANUUACCCNCCUGGGGAAGUNCCGGUCGCAAGACUGAAAACUUAAAGGAAUUGGGGGGGGNAGCCCCCNCAAGGGGGUGAAGCCUGCGGUUCAAUUGGGAGUCAACCCCAGGAAACUUACCAGGAGAGACAGCAGAUUGAGGGGUCAGGCUGAAAGACCUUUACCUGACGAGCUGAGAGGAGGUGCAUGGCCGUCGCCAGUUCGUGCCGUGAGGCGUCCUGUUAAGUCCAGGCAACGAGCGAGACCCCUAUCCGUAAUUGCUAUCUGCCCAGAGAUGGGUAGAGGCUAGUUACAGAGACUGCCGCUGCUAAAGCGGAGGAAGGAAGGGGCCACGGCAGGUCAGUAUGCCCCGAAACUCCUGGGCCACACGCGGGCUGCAAUGGUAGGGACAAUAGGUUCCGACCUCGAAAGAGGAAGGCAAUCCCGAAACCCUACCUCAGUUGUGAUCGAGGAUUGAAACCCGUCCUCGUGAAUAUGGAAUCCCUAGUAACCGCGUGUCAUCACCGCGCGGUGAAUACGUCCCUGCUCCUUGCACACACCGCCCGUCGCUUCACCCGAGUUGGGUCAGGACGAGGUCAUCUCAUGUUGUGGUGAUCGAAUCUUAGCUCGGCAAGGGGGGAGAAGUCGUAACAAGGUAACC